CAAUAAGCGGAGGAAAAGAAACUAACAAGGAUUCCCCUAGUAACUGCGAGUGAAGCGGGAAAAGCUCAAAUUUAAAAUCUGUCAGUCUUUGGCUGUCCGAGUUGUAAUCUAGAGAAGUGUUAUCCGCGCUGGACCGUGUACAAGUCUCCUGGAAUGGAGCGUCAUAGAGGGUGAGAAUCCCGUCUUUGACACGGACUGCCAGGGCUUUGUGAUGCGCUCUCAAAGAGUCGAGUUGUUUGGGAAUGCAGCUCAAAAUGGGUGGUAAAUUCCAUCUAAAGCUAAAUAUUGGCGAGAGACCGAUAGCGAACAAGUACCGUGAGGGAAAGAUGAAAAGAACUUUGGAAAGAGAGUUAAACAGUACGUGAAAUUGCUGAAAGGGAAACGCUUGAAGUCAGUCGCGUUGACCAGGGAUCAACCCUUGCUUUUGCUUGGUGUACUUUCUGGUUGACGGGUCAGCAUCAAUUUUGACUAUUGGAAAAAGAUCAGGGGAAUGUGGCAUCUUUGGAUGUGUUAUAGCCUCUGGUUGUAUACAAUGGUUGGGAUUGAGGAACUCAGCACGCGCCGCAAGGCCGGGUUUUUAACCACGUACGUGCUUAGGAUGCUGGCAUAAUGGCUUUAAUCGACCCGUCUUGAAACACGGACCAAGGAGUCUAACAUGCCUGCAAGUGUUUGGGUGGAAAACCCGAGCGCGUAAUGAAAGUGAAAGUUGAGAUCCCUGUCGUGGGGAGCAUCGACGCCCGGACCAGAUCUUUUGUGACGGUUCCGCGGUAGAGCAUGUAUGUUGGGACCCGAAAGAUGGUGAACUAUGCCUGAAUAGGGUGAAGCCAGAGGAAACUCUGGUGGAGGCUCGUAGCGAUUCUGACGUGCAAAUCGAUCGUCAAAUUUGGGUAUAGGGGCGAAAGACUAAUCGAACCAUCUAGUAGCUGGUCU
rnacentral:rRNA from 1 species